CCCCGUGACGGCCGGGAGCAGCGGAUGAUCCGCAGCGGAGGUGAGAACGGCAGCCGGGGCGUGCGGACGGGGAUCUCCCGGUCACAAGCGAGCCGAUGGAGCAGGAAGGCGGCGGCCGAAGCGGCGCUGCGGCGGACGCAGCGGUGCGCGCCGCCGGGGGGCCGAUCCCGGUGCUGCAUGAGCGCGAGCGGCGCUACUACUCGGGCUUGCACGGGCUGUGCCGGGCGGACUCCUCCGGGAAGCGGCUGUCCUCCUCCAAGGUGGCAGAACUCUUCCAGGCGGCCCAGCUCCCCGACGACGUGCUGCACAAAGUGACGGAGUUGUGCGGGGCCAAGCGCGCGGGCUUCUUCGGCACAGCUCACUUCUUCGUGGCGCUCAAACUGCUGGCCGCCGCCCAAGCCGGCCUGCCCGUGCGCCUGGACAGCGCGGCGGCCGAUCUACCUCUGCCCAGAUUUGCGGGGAUCAAGACGGAAGCAGAGAUGAGAUACGUCGCCAACGCGCCCGGCGUGGAGGCGCGGCGCGACAGAACGCGAGCUUCGGACUCGGGUGGCGAGCGGAAGGAGCCGCCGCCGCCAGGCAGCUCGCCGCCGGCCUUCCACGCCGACCAGUACGCCACGCCGAAAGAACGACAGAUGGCCGACUCGCACAUGAAGACGGGAGAGCGGCAGGACUGCGCCGACGCCGACGACGACGACCCCUGGAGGAUCACAGAGGAACAGCGGGAGUAUUACACCAAUCAGUUUCAAAGCCUGCAGCCCGACCUGGGGGCGCUCAUACUGGGUGCUGUUGCAAAGAACUUCUUCACAAAGUCCAAACUUCCCAUUCCUGAACUGUCGCACAUUUGGGAACUCAGCGACGUGGACCGGGACGGCGCUCUUACCUUGCCGGAGUUUUGCGCGGCGUUCCACUUGAUCGUGGCCCGCAAGAACGGCUACCCUCUUCCCGACAGCCUUCCGCCCGGCCUGCAUCUCGGAUUCGGAGCGCCAGAUGACGACGUCCCCCCUCAACUUCUGAUCGUCUUUGAGGACGGCGGAACGGGACUCGGUCGGACGGAUCGGAGUAUCACGCACCCGACGAGUGCGGCCGAGCGAAAAGAAGAUUCCAAAGAGGAAGCCUGUCAAAAACGAGAAUGCAGCUUGAGGGGCGUGGAGACGUUAAACGAAGGAGCCGCUCUGCAACUCGCCGCCUUUUCCCACCGGCCAGAUCUUUCCUCUCAGGGCGUCGACCCGCAGACCAAGACGAAAAGUCGCCAAAGAUCCUACUCCAGCGCUUCCGUCGACGACGCGGCGAGGAAGGCGGAGGGGCCUCCGGCGCCGCCGCCUCGACCCCAGAAGAAGAGCCACUCCAGAGCCUCCUCGCUGGACCUCAACAAGCUCUUCCAGCAGGGGGCGCCGGGCGUGAAGAGCGGAGGGUUGCCCGCUCCUCCGGCGCUGCCUCCCAGACCUUCCGCCUCGCAGGCCAAAGUGCAGCAGCCCAACUUUGCAGACUUCAGUCGCUUCCGAGAAGAGGAGGAGAGCGGUGUGAAAACAGAAGGACGCUGCCGAUAUGAUCAAAGUGCGGAAGACUCGUCCAGCGCUCCCAAACGGGACCCAAGUCACAAUCUGGCCCCGCAGAAGCACGCCCGAAGGAAGUUCCGGCCAGACAGCCAGAACGUGGAGUUCGUGGCGCCACCUUGUGGCCCUUUUCUAAAACCCACCCAAAAAACGCCGCCCGGGCAGAAGAGGGCGAUCCAGAUGGCGAUCCGCAAAAACAAGGACGCCAACGCCGUGCUGACGCGACUCAACAGCGAGCUCCAGCAGCAGCUCGAGGUAGGCUUCAUCGUUGUUUAUUUGUUUUCAUCAACGAAUAAACAAUCUGGCGGGGAAAUUCGACAGACUGCACACUAAUCGACGUUAACGUCGUCGUUGCGCGCGCAACUGUUUUCCAGGACUUCUGAUUUCAAAUUCAAUAUCGAGUAAAAAAAAAAAACACGUAGUAACAUUGAUACCGUUUCACAGUCAGCAGUCGUCUGAGGGAAACCAUAACUAUGAAAUAAGUCUGACAGCCAUGAAGUAGAUUAUUUGAAAUCUACUAGCGGGGCGGCGGUUGGGGCGGGGCUCUAUUUGACCAAAUAACGCUAUGCGGCACGAGUCCCAAAGCCGGUCUUCUUUCCUCACAAUCACAGCCGUGUGAUUUUUCACAUUUCAACGUUGUUCCGACACAUCUCAGCCAAAUGCAAGAAAGUCCGUCCCGCGCGUCGGUGUGCCGCAAAAGGUGUCGCGCGUUAAUGUCAACAAUUUAGCAGUCUUGUACAAAGCAGGUGAAAGUUACACUACUUGGGUAAAAGCAGAAGUACAUUCACAGAGAAAUCCAAAACACAAAUAUGAUACCUUCGGGGAUCGAUGACGAGGUAUUGCGUACUACCAAUCAGCGCAUAGCUGUUUUCCAUAUUCAAAUAAAGAGAAGGGCGAUCCAAUCAGGGCAAAGCUUAUUUACAUAUCUAAUAUGAAUCCAGCCGUUUAUCUGUCAGGCGUUUUGGACCAACGAGAACAGCUUGAAAAAGGGCAUCCUGGGCAUUUCCAACUCAAAUCAUCUUGCAAACCCAACUAAAAAAAUAAAUAAAUAAAAUAGGACCUUUAAGUAUCAAAAGUCAUUUUAUACAUUUUAAAUGCACUGAAGUAUUGGAUGUCAUUGUAUUUUCUUUUUAUUUAUUUAUUUGUUGCAAAAUGCGAGCGGUUAGAAUUUUGAAACGUUUCUGAUUUAGUUGAGCGGUGAAGUUCAAAACCUGCGCGUUGGAUAAAAAGUCAAGUUGGGCAAAGUGAAACAUCACAUUCACUGAGUACAAAGUGUAAUUAUAUUGAGGAGCUGCGGCAGAGGAAAGGUGGAAGUAGGCAGAAAUAGAACAACAACGUGCAAAAAAUGCUACCUGAAUACAGUAACGGAGUAUUUCCAUUAUAAGACUGCAGUUUUCCCGUUAGCAUCUGCGCUCGGUCCACCUGCCGCGUGCCCGCCGCUCCUCCCGUAAACGAUCCAGCGGUGGAAGCGUUAUGAAAUACGUUUGAUGAGAGCAGAACCCGGAAUAGAAUGACACACCUGAGCUAAUCGGCUCCCUCGAGGCAUCUUUGGAAUUUGAGAGGUUAGCACGUGCGUCUUUAUAUAGCCUGGCGGGAAUGCCGCGCGGGGCUGUCGGCAUUCUCAUCUGUCCGCUUCGAAAUACGGGCGCGAACGUGUCCCGGAUGCCAGGAAUAGUCGAUCGGAAACAAGAGCACGCCGGGCGGACGCCUCCGCCGUGGCGUCGUCACCUGUUCGAAGCGAUGAGACGAGCCGCCGCGAGAUUUUUCAUUGGCCGGCCGCAUAUUUCAAUCAUCGCACAAAAAUAAACACGGUGACGAGAAAAAGAUACUGCACAUCUUUUUGAUUCAAAAUACAAAUGUGGCAGUCGUUGUUGGAACAAGGCAUCACACUUUAUAUUUCAAAUCGUUUUGUGAAAUGUAAAAAUUGGGGGUUUUAUUGAAAUGAAGAAUAAUCCAAAAUAGCAUCACACUAUUUUUAUUGAAUUAAAAAUAAAGAUCUGACACGUUGCAUGUUACCAGAUCGCACACCUUUUAUUUCAAACUCAUACGUUGAAUGUUAAAUGACAUAAUGCAUUUUAUUACAUUCUCACUAAUGUGAAAAACUUUAAGAGAUGACAACAAAUACCCCCAAAUUUUUUUUUAAAAUUAUGUUCAUGCAAUUUAUAAAAAAAAAAAAAAAAAAAAGUACAUCAUGUCGAAAGUUAUUAUAUUAUUAUUCUCACAAUGUUUUUAAUUGGACUUCGACUUUUCUCACCCCCGACACCAAAAUGAAAUUUAGAGCCCUUUUUUUUCUUGAAGUACGAUGAACUGCUUAUCCUGAAUUUGAAAAGUUUUAGCAUGGGUGAAGCGGGGACCCCCUCUUCCUUUGGUUUUUCUGUACGCGGGCCUGCCCAAAACCCGGACAUCCAUGGUCCAGGGCCUCGAUAGCGACUCGGUCUAAACGGCACAGGCGCGGAACGGCGGCAAGGACGCGGCCGUGGUAUGAGAAGCCGCUUUGACGCUGCCUGUAAACGCCGGCGGCCGCCCCCCUUUUCUGCCGACUAUUUUGUUCCCGGAACGAUCCAUCGCGCACGCGUGACAUGUGGAGGAGGUUUCGCUCCGUGCUCAUUAGCGGGCCGGACCCCGCAAAGGGCGGCGCCGCGGCCCCGGGGGGGGGGGGGUCAUGUGAUCUCUCCCUUCUCUUGGCUGCAGGCGGUCCACCGCGAGAGGGUCACCUUGGAGACGCAGCUGGACCUCCUGCGUCCCGUGGCCUCCGCGUGACCCCGGCGGCGGCGGCGGCUCGCUGGACAAUCAGGUCGGGAUGAACGUGCGAGAGGCCGCGACCGAUCAAAGACGUUUGCAAACGUCUCACGAUGUUUCCGUCAUCAACCGCUGUCGAUACCCUCGGCCGACCCGUUCGAUGUCUGUUGCGCAAUACGCCAGUCGUUUCUUUCUUUUUCAGGACAUUCCAAAUGGAUCCAAAUGUCCAAAUGAGUCAUUUGCGGUCGACGAUUGGGAGGAUCAUCUCUUCAAAUAUUAUAGUAUGUAAGCGUUCAAAGUGUACGUAACGUCGUCAUUAACAGCAGGCAGCUGUUCUAUGAAUAGCGCUUCAGAGUAUUCGCUUGGCAUUGCGCGCCAACAGCUGGAGCUAAAUGUGACGGCCAUUUGUCGUACGCAAGUACGUUACGAGUGUGCCGUGGCCGGCUCGCAGCAGUCAGCAAAGUCGCUACCUACUUACAUGAAACAAAAAGUCAUCCUGCACUAGUAAUCAGGAAUGGGCUAGCAAAC